GGNGCUUGCACCUCUUGAGAGCGGCGGANGGGUGAGUAAUGCCUAGGAAUCUGCCUGGUAGUGGGGGAUAACGUCCGGAAACGGACGCUAAUACCGCAUACGUCCUACGGGAGAAAGCAGGGGACCUUCGGGCCUUGCGCUAUCAGAUGAGCCUAGGUCGGAUUAGCUAGUUGGUGGGGUAAAGGCUCACCAAGGCGACGAUCCGUAACUGGUCUGAGAGGAUGAUCAGUCACACUGGAACUGAGACACGGUCCAGACUCCUACGGGAGGCAGCAGUGGGGAAUAUUGGACAAUGGGCGAAAGCCUGAUCCAGCCAUGCCGCGUGUGUGAAGAAGGUCUUCGGAUUGUAAAGCACUUUAAGUUGGGAGGAAGGGUCGUUACCUAAUACGUGGCGAUUUUGACGUUACCGACAGAAUAAGCACCGGCUAACUCUGUGCCAGCAGCCGCGGUAAUACAGAGGGUGCAAGCGUUAAUCGGAAUUACUGGGCGUAAAGCGCGCGUAGGUGGUUUGUUAAGUUGAAUGUGAAAGCCCCGGGCUCAACCUGGGAACUGCAUCCAAAACUGGCAAGCUAGAGUAGGGCAGAGGGUGGUGGAAUUUCCUGUGUAGCGGUGAAAUGCGUAGAUAUAGGAAGGAACACCAGUGGCGAAGGCGACCACCUGGGCUCAUACUGACACUGAGGUGCGAAAGCGUGGGGAGCAAACAGGAUUAGAUACCCUGGUAGUCCACGCCGUAAACGAUGUCAACUAGCCGUUGGAAUCCUUGAGAUUUUAGUGGCGCAGCUAACGCAUUAAGUUGACCGCCUGGGGAGUACGGCCGCAAGGUUAAAACUCAAAUGAAUUGACGGGGGCCCGCACAAGCGGUGGAGCAUGUGGUUUAAUUUCGAAGCAACGNGAAGAACCUUACCAGGCCUUGACAUCCAAUGAACUUUCCAGAGAUGGAUUGGUGCCUUNGGGAACAUUGAGACAGGUGCUGCAUGGCUGUCGUCAGCUNGUGUCGUGAGAUGUUGGGUUAAGUCCCGUAACGAGCGCAACCCUUGUCCUUAGUUACCAGCACGUUAAGGUGGGCACUUUAAGGAGACUGCCGGUGACAAACCGGAGGAAGGUGGGGAUGACGUCAAGUCAUCAUGGCCCUUACGGCCUGGGCUACACACGUGCUACAAUGGUCGGUACAGAGGGUUGCCAAGCCGCGAGGUGGAGCUAAUCUCACAAAAC
rnacentral:rRNA from 1 species